rnacentral:sRNA from 1 species
UUGACUUACAAAUGAUAAUCGUUAUGAUUAUCACAACUGAUCGCAAGAUCGGUUGGAUUUUCUGGAAGGUCCUUGGUUCGGACGCUCAGAUUAUCUCCUCAUCAGGCUAAUCACGGUUAUUGACCCGGCUUUUUGCCGGGUCUUUUUUUG